GGAGGCAGCGGACCACGGUGAGCUCAGCGACUGGGGUGAAGUCGUAACAAGGUAGCCGUAGGGGAACCUGCGGCUGGAUCACCUCCUUU
rnacentral:rRNA from 1 species